rnacentral:rRNA from 1 species
GACGAGGGAUCCAAGCGUUGUUCGGAAUUAUUGGGCGUAAAGCGGGUGUAGGUGGCUUUGUAAGUCAGGUGUGAAGCCCAGGGCUCAACCCUGGAAGUGCAUUUGAUACUGCGAAGCUUGAGUGUAGGAGAGGUUACUAGAAUUCUUGGUGUAGUGGUGAAAUACGUAGAUAUCAAGAGGAAUACCGGAGGCGAAGGCGGGUAACUGGCCUAACACUGACACUCAGACCCGAAAGCGUGGGGAUCAAACAGG